AUGCAAGUCGAACGAGGUAGCAAUACCUAGUGGCGGACGGGUGAGUAACGCGUGGGUAAUCUGCCCAAGGGUGGGGGAUAACUAGCCGAAAGGUUAGCUAAUACCGCAUAUGCCGUGAGGUAAAAGGAGUAAUCCGCCCCUGGAUGAGCCUGCGUCCGAUUAGCUAGUUGGUGGGGUAAAGGCCUACCAAGGCUACGAUCGGUAGCUGGUCUGAGAGGAUGAUCAGCCACAAUGGGACUGAGACACGGCCCAUACUCCUACGGGAGGCAGCAGUGGGGAAUUUUACGCAAUGGGGGAAACCCUGACGUAGCGACACCGCGUGAGCGAAGAAGCCCUUUGGGGUGUAAAGCUCUGUCAGCAGGAACGAAUAAAUGACGGUACCUGCAGAGGAAGCAUCGGCUAACUACGUGCCAGCAGCCGCGGUAAGACGUAGGAUGCAAGCGUUGUCCGGAUUUAUUGGGCGUAAAGAGUUCGUAGGCGGUUUGUUAAGUUUGAUGUUAAAGAUCGGGGCCUAACCCUGGGAGUGCAUUGGAUACUGGCAGACUGGAGUG
rnacentral:rRNA from 1 species